UAGGGAAUCUUCGGCAAUGGACGAAAGUCUGACCGAGCAACGCCGCGUGAGUGAAGAAGGUUUUCGGAUCGUAAAACUCUGUUGUUAGAGAAGAACAAGGACGUUAGUAACUGAACGUCCCCUGACGGUAUCUAACCAGAAAGCCACGGCUAACUACGUGCCAGCAGCCGCGGUAAUACGCAGGUGGCAAGCGUUGUCCGGAUUUAUUGGGCGUAAAGCGAGCGCAGGCGGUUUCUUAAGUCUGAUGUGAAAGCCCCCGGCUCAACCGGGGAGGGUCAUUGGAAACUGGGAGACUUGAGUGCAGAAGAGGAGAGUGGAAUUCCAUGUGUAGCAGUGAAAUGCGUAGAUAUAUGGAGGAACACCAGUGGCGAAGGCGGCUCUCUGGUCUGUAACUGACGCUGAGGCUCGAAAGCGUGGGGAGCAAACAGG
rnacentral:rRNA from 1 species